UACGUAGGGGGCAAGCAUUGUCCGGAUUUACUGGGCGUAAAGGGCGCGUAGGCGGCCAGCACAAGUCAGUUGUGAAAUCUCCGGGCUUAACUCGGAAAGGUCAACUGAUACUGUGCGGCUAGAGUGCAGAAGGGGCAACUGGAAUUCUCGGUGUAGCGGUGAAAUGCGUAGAUAUCGAGAGGAACACCUGCGGCGAAGGCGGGUUGCUGGGCUGACACUGACGCUGAUGCGCGAAAGCCAGGGGAGCGAACGGG
rnacentral:rRNA from 1 species